AGAGUUUGAUCCUGGCUCAGGAUGAACGCUAGCGACAGGCUUAACACAUGCAAGUCGAGGGGCAGCGGUGGUGAAGGCUUGCCUUUACCAGCCGGCGACCGGCGCACGGGUGAGUAACACGUAUGCAACCUGCCUGCCACAGCCGGAUAAUCGGGAGAAAUUCCGUCUAAUACGGCAUAAUGCAUCGACGGGACAUCCUGUUGGUGCCAAAGGUUGAUUCCGGUGGCGGAUGGGCAUGCGUCGCAUUAGUUAGUUGGCGGUGUAACGGACCACCAAGACGACGAUGCGUAGGGGUUCUGAGAGGAAGGUCCCCCACACUGGUACUGAGACACGGACCAGACUCCUACGGGAGGCAGCAGUGAGGAAUAUUGGUCAAUGGGCGGGAGCCUGAACCAGCCAAGUCGCGUGAGGGAUGACGGCCCUAUGGGUUGUAAACCUCUUUUGCCGGGGAGCAAAGUGCCGCACGUGUGCGGUUUGGAGAGUACCCGGAGAAAAAGCAUCGGCUAACUCCGUGCCAGCAGCCGCGGUAAUACGGAGGAUGCGAGCGUUAUCCGGAUUUAUUGGGUUUAAAGGGUGCGUAGGCGGACGCUUAAGUCAGCGGUAAAAUUGCGGGGCUCAACCUCGUCGAGCCGUUGAAACUGGGUGCCUUGAGUGGGCGAGAAGUACGCGGAAUGCGUGGUGUAGCGGUGAAAUGCAUAGAUAUCACGCAGAACUCCGAUUGCGAAGGCAGCGUACCGGCGCCCAACUGACGCUGAAGCACGAAGGCGUGGGUAUCGAACAGGAUUAGAUACCCUGGUAGUCCACGCAGUAAACGAUGAAUGCUAGUUGUCCGGGGCGAUUGAGUUCUGGGUGACACAGGGAAAGCGUUAAGCAUUCCACCUGGGGAGUACGCCGGCAACGGUGAAACUCAAAGGAAUUGACGGGGGCCCGCACAAGCGGAGGAACAUGUGGUUUAAUUCGAUGAUACGCGAGGAACCUUACCCGGGCUCAAACGCAGGAGGGAUGUUUUUGAAAGGAGGCAGCCAGCAAUGGUCUCCUGCGAGGUGCUGCAUGGUUGUCGUCAGCUCGUGCCGUGAGGUGUCGGCUUAAGUGCCAUAACGAGCGCAACCCCUACCUACAGUUGCCAUCGCGUGAUGGCGGGCACUCUGUGGGGACUGCCUGCGCAAGCAGUGAGGAAGGCGGGGAUGACGUCAAAUCAGCACGGCCCUUACGUCCGGGGCGACACACGUGUUACAAUGGCAGGUACAGCGGGAAGCCACCCGGCGACGGGGCGCGGAACCCGAAAACCUGUCUCAGUUCGGAUUGGAGUCUGCAACCCGACUCCAUGAAGCUGGAUUCGCUAGUAAUCGCGCAUCAGCCACGGCGCGGUGAAUACGUUCCCGGGCCUUGCACACACCGCCCGUCA
rnacentral:rRNA from 1 species